AUGUUCUCUGUGUUUCUAAUGCUGCUCUUGGCAGCUGCAUCCUAUGUAAUGGGUCAGACACUGACUGAGUCGGAACCAGUGAUCAUUAAACCUGGUGGAUCUCAUAAACUGACCUGUACAGCCUCUGGGUUUAACUUUGGUAGCUACUGGAUGGCUUGGAUCAGACAGGCUCCUGGAAAAGGACUGGAAUGGGUGGCAGCCAUGUAUGACAGUUCUAAUAUAGCUUAUUCCAGUGGUGUUCAGGGAAGGUUCACUGUCUCCAGAGACAACAGUAAGAAUCAGCUCUAUCUACAGAUGAACAGUCUGAAGACUGAAGACACAGCUGUGUAUUAUUGUGUGUUUGGUGGACAGUCACUGACCUCAUCUGAGUCAGUGGUGAAGAAUCCUGGACAGUCUGUCACUCUGUCCUGUACUGUGUCUGGAUUCUCUAUGAGCAACUAA